ensembl:lncRNA
CUCCCCGCCUGCACCUCACCUCUUCCCCUCUGCCCGUGGGCCUCCCAGGCCCGAGCCAACUACAUCGCCACCUUAAGCCCCCUCCCCCCUUUUUUCCCCUUUCUUUCUUUAUUUUUAAUUACUGAGGGAAAAUAUACACAGAAGCAAAAAAAAAAAAAAAAAAGCCUCCCCGGCAGGCGCGAGCGGGGGUGUUGAGGAGGCCGGCGAAGGCGCUGGGAGCUGUUUAUUUAUGGCUGCAAAUGUGUGCGUGCGAGAGAGAGGGAGAAUUGAUCUUUGCCUGGACUUAAAGAUGGAGCCGAAGGCGCUGGAGGGAAUUUGGGUUUACGCGCCUAGCUCAGACCGGGGCGCUGAAGGGGGCCGUUUGGCACGAAGCCCGAGGUCGCUCUUUUCCGCACCCCUCACCUCGCGACCUUUCAGGAAUCUGAGGGGUCCUGAAGCGGCCUGGCUGACCCACCUCCCCGGGGCCGAGCUUCGAGAAAGGCUUCAUGGAGGGAGCCAUCCCGUCCCUGUCUUUAAAAUGAGCGCAAUAAAAGGGGGCAAAUCCUCAAACGUGAACCUGAUCACUUGUCACAGAAGCAACUUGCCAUGAAAUCCGCUAAUGCGCCGCGACUCGCCCACCCGGAUAGAUAACCCCCGCAGUGGUGUAACCAGCGCGCGCGCCCAAAGCCGUCUUGUCCCUCGAAUGCGCUCACCGCCGGCAACACUUGGAGAAUCCAGCCCACAGUGGUUUCGAAAACCCCAUUUUCCUGAUUGCAGCUCAGACUGUGGAACCCCGAGAGCCUCCCCAAAGAGGGAGCGUGAAUCGGGCCAAGUAGUGGGUCGGGGACACACACGCACGCACGCACGCAUAUGCACACAGAGGCAGAGCAGUGCUUCAUAGGACCUAAGAUCCAGGGUGGCUGGAAAGGGAUCUGGGAGGCCACGUCUGAAGGAGCCAGCAAGGCCCUGGUGCUGCCUCUGCCAGAGUCGUGCAGCCACUGAAGCAGCCUGAUCCUGAUAGUUAUUUUGGGGGGAAAAACACCUGGAACCCAGGUUUGAGCUAAAGAAAGUAAGGGCAAGUGACAGAUGAUCAAGCAUUUCUUUGAAAUGAGGAAGAACUGAGAACUACCCAGCUGGCCUGGCCUUAGGGCAAACUGGACCUUAGGAAACUACUCUCUUCGCACACACAGCAGCACACAUCCUCCGAUGGCAAGUUCACCGGUGCCCAGCAAGGGCCACUGCACCUCCUAACUGCUUUUUCAGCCUCCUCCAGGUUUUGCCAGGCAAAUGAAACAAGAACUCAAUAGUAAAUUAUUUUGUUCAGACUUCUGUCUUUUUAUGAAAAUAAAAGGCAACACUUUGUCAUUUUUAAUCAUAUAAGCAGACAAUAAACCUAAUCUUGAUAUUGAUUUUUCCAGAAUCAAGUGAUUUUGUGCAGUGUCUGUUUUAUUUCCUUUCUGAGGAAGAGCUGUUUGUUGGUAGAUGGUGUGGCUCUAAGACUGCACUCCAGUGGGCAGGUGCUUAUCUGAAACAUGUAGCUGAUUGUGGACUUUGAAGCGAGAUAGCUAAAAUGGGGUUCUGCC